UUCUUCUUAGGACUUUGCUUUGGGAACAUGAUGAAGCUUUCAGUACAUGGAUCCUCAUCCUUGAUUGUUUCUUUUGAUGUACUGUCUCUCUUCUUCACCUUAUCUAUAGUAGACUCCCACUCAUCAUAAUAUUCAGUGUAGAACUCAUCUGUUGGGUGAUAUUUCAGGUCACUCCCACAAAUGCAAGGAUUCAAGGAAAGGGAUUUGGGUAGUUUCUUGUAUCCUCCACAGAUGAAGCUUUUGAGGUUUUGAAUAGUUUUCUCAUAGAACUCCUUGCUUUUGUGCAUUGUUUCUUUUAGG
rnacentral:lncRNA from 1 species